GAUGAACGCUAGCGGCAGGCCUAAUACAUGCAAGUCGAACGGUAAGCUGGGUAGUAAUAUUCAGCCAAGAGUGACGUACGGGUGCGUAACACGUAUGCAACCUACCCUUUACAGAUGGAUAGCUCGGGGAAACUCGAAUUAACCCGUCAUAAAAUAAUUGGAUGGCAUCAUUUGAUUAUUAAAACUGAGGUGGUAAGAUGGGCAUGCGUCUGAUUAGUUAGUUGGGGGGUAACGCCCACCAAGACGAUGAUCAGUAGGGAACUGAG
rnacentral:rRNA from 1 species